rnacentral:rRNA from 1 species
GAUGAACGCUGGCGGCGUGCCUAAUACAUGCAAGUCGAGCGAACAGACGAGGAGCUUGCUCCUCUGACGUUAGCGGCGGACGGGUGAGUAACACGUGGAUAACCUACCUAUAAGACUGGGAUAACUUCGGGAAACCGGAGCUAAUACCGGAUAAUAUAUUGAACCGCAUGGUUCAAUAGUGAAAGACGGCUUUGCUGUCACUUAUAGAUGGAUCCGCGCCGCAUUAGCUAGUUGGUAAGGUAACGGCUUACCAAGGCAACGAUGCGUAGCCGACCUGAGGGGGUGAUCGGCCACACUGGAACUGAGACACGGUCCAGACUCCUACGGGAGGCAGCAGUAGGGAAUCUUCCGCAAAGGGCGAAAGCCUGACGGAGCAACGCCGCGUGAGUGAUGAAGGUCUUCGGAUCGUAAAACUCUGUUAUUAGGGAAGAACAAAUGUGUAAGUAACUAUGCACGUCUUGACGGUACCUAAUCAGAAAGCCACGGCUAACUACGUG